GGUAAUCGUAGGUCAAGAAUUAAAGGGACUUGGACACGAUUUUAGAUCAAAAAUUUCUUUUUCUUUUUUAUGUAUACAAUGGAUUGCUUGCUCAUUUUGAAUAAUUGACCAAAUUAAGAACGUUAGAAGUCACACAGAAUGAAGCUCUGCCAUUCAGUCAACGAAUGUUAACUGAAUGGUCUGGAAAGAUGACUGAAUGGCACAGCAAUGCCAUUCAGUCCCAUUUCAGUUACCUUUCAGUCACCUUUCAAUUGACUGAAUGGCAGAGAUUCAUCCUGUGUCAGGUUUUGAAGAGAGAUAGAAAGACACGUCGAUUCGGGAAUGAGCAGAUGCAAUAUAUCUAAGGAACAAGAAAUGGUUUUUGGUCAUUAUCGACAAAACGCCCUGUAAAUGGAGAAAGAAUUAUACUAGACAUCUUUAUACUUAAAGGUCCGUACUUUUUCUCAGUAAGUUUCUAGGGGACAACGGAUCUUCCAUGCGAUCCUUUCA